rnacentral:rRNA from 1 species
GAUGAACGCUGGCGGCGUGCCUAAUACAUGCCAGUCGAGCGAACAGACGAGGAGCUUGCUUUUCUGACGUUAGCGGCGGACGGGUGAGUAACACGUGGAUAACCUACCUAUAAGACUGGGAUAACUUCGGGAAACCGGAGCUAAUACCGGAUAAUAUAUUGAACCGCAUGGUUCAAUAGUGAAAGACGGUCUUGCUGUCACUUAUAGAUGGAUCCGCGCUGCAUUAGCUAGUUGGUAAGGUAACGGCUUACCAAGGCAACGAUGCGUAGCCGACCUGAGAGGGGGUCCGCCCACCCGGGAACGGGACCCGGGUCAGGCCUCCUACGGGAGGAACCAGAAGGGAUCUUUCGGCAUUGGGGGAAAGCCUGACGGGGAACGCCGGCGUAGGUAAUGACGGCUUCGGGUUCGAAAACACCUGUUAUUAGGGAGAAAAAAAUUUGAAAGUACCAGUCACGUUCUUGCCGGUACUAAACAAAAAAGCACCGGCUACCUACGUG